AACGAACGCUGGCGGCAGGCCUAACACAUGCAAGUCGAACGAGACCUUCGGGGCUAGUGGCGCACGGGUGCGUAACGCGUGGGAACCUGCCCUUAGGUUCGGAAUAACUCCCCGAAAGGGGUGCUAAUACCGGAUAAUGUCUUCGGACCAAAGAUUUAUCGCCUUUGGAGGGGCCCGCGUUGGAUUAGCUAGUUGGUAGGGUAAAAGCCUACCAAGGCGACGAUCAGUAGCUGGUCUGAGAGGAUGAUCAGCCACACUGGGACUGAGACACGGCCCAGACUCCUACGGGAGGCAGCAGUGGGGAAUCUUGCACAAUGGGCGAAAGCCUGAUCCAGCAAUGCCGCGUGAAUGAUGAAGGUCUUAGGGUUGUAAAGCUCUUUUACCCGGGAUGAUAAUGACGGUACCGGGAGAAUAAGCUCCGGCUAACUCCGUG
rnacentral:rRNA from 1 species